rnacentral:rRNA from 1 species
CUUCGGUGGUGGAUUAGUGGCGAACGGGUGAGUAACACGUGGGCAAUCUGCCCUUCACUCUGGGACAAGCCCUGGAAACGGGGUCUAAUACCGGAUAAUACUCCGGCCCGCAUGGGUGGGGGUUGAAAGCUCCGGCGGUGAAGGAUGAGCCCGCGGCCUAUCAGCUUGUUGGUGGGGUAAUGGCCUACCAAGGCGACGACGGGUAGCCGGCCUGAGAGGGCGACCGGCCACACUGGGACUGAGACACGGCCCAGACUCCUACGGGAGGCAGCAGUGGGGAAUAUUGCACAAUGGGCGAAAGCCUGAUGCAGCGACGCCGCGUGAGGGAUGACGGCCUUCGGGUUGUAAACCUCUUUCAGCAGGGAAGAAGCGCAAGUGACGGUACCUGCAGAAGAAGCGCCGGCUAACUACGUGCCAGCAGCCGCGGUAAUACGUAGGGCGCAAGCGUUGUCCGGAAUUAUUGGGCGUAAAGAGCUCGUAGGCGGCUUGUCACGUCGGAUGUGAAAGCCCGGGGCUUAACCCCGGGUCUGCAUUCGAUACGGGCUAGCUAGAGUGUGGUAGGGGAGAUCGGAAUUCCUGGUGUAGCGGUGAAAUGCGCAGAUAUCAGGAGGAACACCGGUGGCGAAGGCGGAUCUCUGGGCCAUUACUGACGCUGAGGAGCGAAAGCGUGGGGAGCGAACAGGAUUAGA